AGCAGUAUGGUGUAUUGUGCACGCGGAGCUCUCAUAUACAAUUGGAGAAUGAAUUUACCCCGAGGACCUCGUUCGAAUUGAGGUGCUGCUA